rnacentral:rRNA from 2 species
UACGGAGGAUGCAAGCGUUAUCCGGAUUCAUUGGGUUUAAAGGGUGCGCAGGCGGAUUGGUAAGUCAGGGGUGAAAUCCCACAGCUCAACUGUGGAACUGCCUUUGAUACUGUCAGUCUAGAGUAUAGUUGAAGUUGGCGGAAUGUGUCAUGUAGCGGUGAAAUGCUUAGAUAUGACACAGAACACCGAUCGCGAAGGCAGCUAGCUAAGCUAUAACUGACGCUCAUGCACGAAAGCGUGGGGAUCAAACAGGAUUAGAUACCCUGGUAGUCCACGCUGUAAACGAUGAUUACUCGAUGUUGGCGAUACACAGUCAGCGUCUGAGCGAAAGCAAUAAGUAAUCCACCUGGGGAGUACGAUCGCAAGAUUGAA